CGGGACUUUCUAAGGACCCUGGACCUUAUCAGGAUACUUAGAGAUGUUACAUUUGCUUGAGCUAAAGUUUGAAGCCACAAGCUUGUGGGGGGGUGUCUUUUUUUUUUUUUUUUGGUAUCAGGGUUCGAACUCAGGACCUUGCACUUGCGAGGCAGGUAGUGGAACCACUGAGCCAAAUCCUCGGCCAUGGGGAUCAUAUCUAUAGCUAAUAAUUAAGAAAAUGAAGAAAAUCACAGCUUUGCAUACCUGUUAGACUCCCAGGUGACUAUCUCUAGCUUGCUAAUCACUUUCGGUCUAACACAACUGCGUCCACAGCACCCGUUCAGUCUGGCUUUGUGUCACCUUGGAGCUCACUGCAAGCCCGGUUCUGUGCGAAGACAGGUUCACAAAGUAGCUCCUGUAGUCCUCACAGCCAUCCUAUGUGGUGGGCACCCUGAUCAUAUCCAUUUGACAGAUGAGGACACUGAGGCUUCAAGAGAAAAGCAAAAUCUGCCCAGGGUCACUGUCAUUGUCAUUGUGACUCCAGGGUCUUCAUUCAAACUACUUUGCUUUCCCUUCCACAGCAGACUGAGAAUGUGGCUUUUGGAAGAGGUAAGAAUAAGUCCAACCCAGGGUCAGCAGACACUUGCUUCAGGUUCUUCACCGUCACCUGACUUAAUGCUUGCAUCAUCUUUCUGGGUUGAAAGAAAUUUAUAUGCCAGAAGUGUUUAA
rnacentral:lncRNA from 1 species